rnacentral:rRNA from 1 species
CGGUAAUUCCAGCUCCAAUAGCGUAUACUAAAGUUGUUGCAGUUAAAAAGCUCGUAGUUGGAUUUCUGCGGGGACGGAGCGGCCGGACGCAACUUGCGUCUCGAGCUAGCGCUUUCCCCGCAUCCUGCCGCGAACCGUGCUACCAUUAGUUUGGUGGCGCUGGGGAUCGGCUCGAUUACUUUGAGAAAAAUAGAGUGUUCAAAGCAGGCCACACGCCUUGAAUAAGUUAGCAUGGAAUAAUGACUAAGGACUUCGGUUCUAUUUUGUUGGUGUUCGGGACUGAAGUAAUGAUUGAUAGGGACAGUUGGGGCGGUCUGUAUUCCAAAGCGAGAGGUGAAAUUCUUAGACCUUCGGAAGACAAACAGCUGCGAAAGCGUUCCGCAAGGAUGUUCCCUUUGAUCAAGAACGAAAGUUGGGGGAUCGAAGACGAUCAGAUACCGUCGUAGUCUCAACUAUAAACUAUACCAGCUAGGGAUCGGCCAACGUUUAAUUAAUCGACUUGGUCGGCACCUUAUGUGAAAUCAAAGCAUCUGGGUUCCGGGGGGAGUAUGGUCGCAAGGCUGAAACUUAAAGGAAUUGACGGAAGGGCACCACCAGCCGUGGAGCCUGUGGCUUAAUUUGACUCAACACGGGAAAACUUACCAGGUCCAGACAUAGGAAGGAUUGACAGAUUGAUAGCUCUUUCUUGAUUCUGUGGGUGGUGGUGCAUGGCCGUUUUUAGUUGGUGGAGUGAUUUGUCUGCUUAAUUGCGUUAACGAACGAGACCCCAGCCUGCUAAAUAGCGCGGCUGAGCUUUGCUCGGUGCGAGCUUCUUAGAGGGACCAUGAUGCGCGAUAGCACAAGGAAGUUUGGGGCAACAACAGGUCUGUGAUGCCCUUAGAUGUUCUGGGCCGCACACGGGCUACACUGGCGCCUGCAACGAGCAUAUCAGCUGGCCCGAGAGGGUCUUGGCUAAUCUUUUGAACCGGCGCCGUGCUUGGGAUUGACCUUUGCAAUUGUUGGUCAUGCAACGAGGAAUGCCUUGUAAACGCGAGUCAUCAGCUCGCAUUGAAUACGUCCCUGCCCUUUGUACACACCGCCCGUCGCUCCUACCGAUGAAUGUUCCGAUGAAAUUUUCGGAGAGCGCCAGAGAACGGGGCUCCGCCUUGCAGAUCUGGAGGCUCAAAGUCACUUAAAUCUGAACAUUUCGAGGAAGGAGAAGUCGUAACAAGGUAGCCG